rnacentral:rRNA from 1 species
UACGAAGGGUGCAAGCGUUGCUCGGAAUUAUUGGGCGUAAAGCGCACGUAGGCGGCUUAGCAAGUCGGAUGUGAAAUCCCUCGGCUCAACCAAGGAAGUGCAUCCGAAACUGCUGAGCUUGAGUACGAAAGAGGAUCGCGGAAUUACCGGUGUAGAGGUGAAAUUCGUAGAUAUCGGGAGGAACACCAGUGGCGAAGGCGGCGAUCUGGGUCGAUACUGACGCUGAGGUGCGAAAGCGUGGGGAGCAAACAGG